rnacentral:lncRNA from 1 species
AUUGAUGUGGUGUAUAAUUUUGAGGUUUGGGUGCAAAUGUUAGGGUGAAACUUUGCUAUUUUCACCCGAACAAAAGAAAAUAUUACCCAAGCGGCCAUAGCCCAGAAUUUCACUUUUCUCUCUGUUGAGUUGUUGUUCAAGCGACAACUACUCGCCCAAGUGACAAAAUGUGUCACCCAAGCGACAAGCUUCUUGAUCAGAUGAGAAUGUCAUUAUAACUCCUUUUACCUUUAUUGAGUUGUCACCCAGGCGAAAAAUUUGUCGCUUAAGUGAAAACCCUUUCUCACCCAAGCAAGAGCCUGUCACUCAAGCGAGAGAACUCCAAUGGCUCAUCCUAAUCUCUAUUAAGGUGUCCC